rnacentral:rRNA from 1 species
UACGUAGGGCGCAAGCGUUUGUCCGGAAUUAUUGGGCGUAAAGAGCUCGUAGGUGGUUUGUUACGUCUGCUGUGAAAUCCUAGGGCUUAACCCUGGGCCUGCAGUGGGUACGGGCAGACUAGAGUGCGGUAGGGGAGACUGGAAUUCCUGGUGUAGCGGUGAAAUGCGCAGAUAUCAGGAGGAACACCGGUGGCGAAGGCGGGUCUCUGGGCCGUAACUGACGCUGAGGAGCGAAAGCGUGGGGAGCGAACAGG